UGCCAUGUAGUAAACACAAAGUGAACUAUUCUUUUGACUUUUACUAAAGAAUACUGUGUGUUGGCUACUCACAGUGGCAUACACCAAUUUUUUAAGGCUUCCAUCAUUUGAAAAU
rnacentral:snRNA from 1 species